rnacentral:lncRNA from 1 species
CUCUCCUCCGCUCCGCCCUCUCCAGUAGCUCUCCAUCGCCCUCGCGCCCCAGAUCCAAACCACCAGCAGUUCGAGGCGAAACCCUCGUGCUCAUCACCUCCAUCUCCACCACGGUUUGUCCGCGCGCUCCCGCCGAUCGACACGAGAUCGAUGCCGUCGUUGUUUUUUGCCGACCGAUUUUGUCCCCUGGGGUCGUCCUAAUGUUGUCUUCCGGUUUCGGGGCUGUUUUGCAGGAGGGAAGGCGAAGCCGCUCAAGCAGGCCAAGGUCGCCGAGAAGGACUACAACGAGGUAUGCUGUCGUCCUUCUACCUUUGCUCGCGCUCUCGAUUCGUCGCCCGGAUCAGCGAUCUGCCCCUGUAAUUCUAGCCUUGGUGGUGUUUAGGCUGCUCUGGCGUAGAUCGCUCCGUGCUUGGUUGGUAAUCGCGGAUGCUCCGUUGGGGGUCCUCCGCAACAAGGCCACCAUUGGAUCCCCUCCUCUCCUCCGCUCCGCCCUCUCCAGUAGCUCUCCAUCGCCCUCGCGCCCCAGAUCCAAACCACCAGCAGUUCGAGGCGAAACCCUCGUGCUCAUCACCUCCAUCUCCACCACGGUUUGUCCGCGCGCUCCCGCCGAUCGACACGAGAUCGAUGCCGUCGUUGUUUUUUGCCGACCGAUUUUGUCCCCUGGGGUCGUCCUAAUGUUGUCUUCCGGUUUCGGGGCUGUUUUGCAGGAGG